rnacentral:rRNA from 1 species
GGAUCAUUAUCGAACAAUGGAGGUGCUAGGGCUGUCGCUAAACUUUUGUGCACGCCCCGGUGCUCUCUCACAAUCCAUCUCACCCCCUUGUGCAUCACCGCGUGGGUGCUCUCCUUUCUGAAAGGGGGCAUUUGCGCUUUUAUACAGACCCACUGCAUGUGUAGAAUGUGUUACUGUUUGCAAUAAUAUGCGAUCAAUACAACUUUCAACAACGGAUCUCUUGGCUCUCGCAUCGAUGAAGAACGCAGCGAAAUGCGAUACGUAAUGUGAAUUGCAGAAUUCAGUGAAUCAUCGAAUCUUUGAACGCACCUUGCGCCCCUUGGAAUUCCGAGGGGCACACCCGUUUGAGUGUCGUGAACAUCCUUCAACCUUUCUUGGUUUCUCGAUCAAGAAAGGCUUGGACUUUGGAGGUUUUAAUUGCUGGCCUCCCUCGAAGCCAGCUCCUCCUAAAUGGAUUAGUGGGGUCUGCAACCUUGACGUGAUAAGAUGUUUCUACGUCUUUGGUUUUGCACUGUUGCCCUGCUUCUAAUCGUCUUGCAUUCAGGACAGAGUCAUGAACCUUGACCUCAAAUCGGGUGAGACUACCCGCUGAACUUAAGCAUAUCAAUAAGCGGAGGAAAAGAAACUAACAAGGAUUCCCCUAGUAACUGCGAGUGAAGCGGGAAAAGCUCAAAUUUAAAAUCUGGUGGCCCUUCCGCCAUCCGAGUUGUAAUUUAGAGAAGCGUCUUCCGCGCUGGACCGUGCAUAAGUCUCCUGGAACGGAGCGUCAUAGAGGGUGAGAAUCCCGUCUUUGGCACGGAACCCCAGGGCUUCUGUGAUGCGCUCUCGAAGAGUCGAGUUGUUUGGGAAUGCAGCUCAAAAUGGGUGGUGAACUCCAUCUAAAGCUAAAUAUUGGCGAGAGACCGAUAGCGAACAAGUACCGUGAGGGAAAGAUGAAAAGCACUUUGGAAAGAGAGUGAAACAGUACGUGAAAUUGUUGAAAGGGAAACGCUUGAAGUCAGUCGCAUCGACCGAGACUCAGCCUUGCCUCGGCUUGGUGUACUUCUCGGCUGAUGGGUCAGCAUCGAUUUCGACCCUUGGAUAAUGGUGGGGGAAAGGUGGCACCUUUACCGGUGUGUUAUAGUCCUCUGUCGGAUGUGGGGGUUGGGAUCGAGGAACUCAGCAUGCGCCUUUCGGUGUCGGGGCCUUGGCCCACGUCUACGUGC